GUUCUAGAAGCAAAUACGUAUACAAAAAUUGGAACCAUACAGAGAUUAGCGUGACCCCUGCACAAGGGUGACAGGCAAUUCAUGAAGUGUCACAUAGCUUA
ensembl:snRNA U6 U6 spliceosomal RNA